CAUUCUUUCUCUCUGUAGCAAACAAAGAAAAAAGACAAGCCGCGACCCCAGGGAACAGGAGGCCUUGGGCUCCUCCCUCCUCCCCCAGGAGGCAAGAUUGCCCCACCCCCAUCAACUGUCCUGUCCAAUCACGUCACAGAAACCACGGGUUCUGGUCACACCCACACAGGGGGAGGGGACACAGGGCGUCUGCUGGACCUGGACGGCUCUUCCUCCAUCCCCACGCAGUCCCUCUCGAACCCGGGCGCCGACCUGUGGGGGGAGUUCUCCUCUCCAGCCAGCUCGGUCUCCACCACAAACCCGGAGUCUUCAUCUGGAAACUGGGUGCAGUUUUGAGCUCGGCCCUGCUCCUUUCUCUCGGUCUCCUUUUCUCUCCUGUCCAGUCAUGCCUGCCCAUGUCUCUCCCCUGUUGCUCUUUCAUUCCUAUAGACUGCUAAAACACUGACUUGAUCACUAAUGAUCUCUCUGCUCUGCUUCCCUCCUCUGUCUCCUCUCUCUCUGUGUGUCUCCUGUCCUGUUGUUGUGUCUUUAUUGCUGAGGGAUUCUCUGUGAUCUCCUCUCUCUCCCUGUGUCUCCUGUCCUGUUGUGUGUGUUUAUUGCUGAGGGAUUCUCUGUGAUAUCUCCUCUCUCUCUGUGUCUCCUGUCCUGUUGGGUGUGCUAAUUACUGAGGGAUUCUCUGUGAUCUCCUCUCUCAAAUUCUUCAUAUUCAAGGAGACACAACGAGAGAGAGAAGAGAUAACAGGGUUUUGAGCAGAGAGAAAACUUAACUAGAUCUUUCAAAAGGUACUGUACCCUCUCCUAUAUUGAUAGUCCACCCUGAAGAACACUGCAUUAGUUUACAAUAAUUAUGCUGAAUAUUACAAUACAAAUAAGAUAAAUAUUGUGUGUAUAUAAUUGUGAAUGUAUAUAUCCAUAGAGCCAGUGAAAAUAUGAUCUGUUUUUAGAUGAUUUGUCAAGUUUAAGAUUUGAAGUUAAUAAUUCAUUCUGUACAUAACAUGGUUCUGUCUGUACGUUUCUCUGUGUUGAUAAACUCGUGGGAAAUUCAUUUGUGUGUAUUGAACAUCAUCUAAAAAUAAAGAAUAUACUAAAUGAUUUUUUAUCAUUUGUCUAGGUGUAUAUAUAGUGUCCUCCAGGAGCGUUUGUGUAUACAG
rnacentral:lncRNA from 1 species